rnacentral:rRNA from 1 species
UACGUAGGGGGCGAGCGUUGUCCGGAGUUACUGGGCGUAAAGGGCACGCAGGCGGUCUUUUCAGUUCGGAGUGACAGUCGUCGGCUUACCUGACGAAGGCCUCGGAAGACGGGAAGACUUGAGGGCUCACGAGGGACACGGAAGUUCCGGGUGGAGUGGUGAAAUGCGUAGAUAUCCGGAGGAACACCAAAGGCGAAGGCAGUGUCCUGGGGAGUUACUGACGCUCAGGUGCGAAAGCCAGGGGAGCGAACGGG